rnacentral:rRNA from 1 species
UCCUACGGGAGGCAGCAGUAAGGGAUAUUGCACAAUGGACGGAAGUCUGAUGCAGCGACGCCGCGUGGGUGAAGAAGGUUUUCGGAUCGUAAAGCCCUUUUCUAUGUGACGAGAGAGGACGGUAGCAUAGGAAUAAGUGUCGGCUAACUACGUGCCAGCAGCCGCGGUAAAACGUAGGACGCGAACGUUAUCCGGAGUUACUGGGCGUAAAGCGCGCGUAGGCGGUUGGUUAAGUUACCUAUGAAAGAUACAGGCUAAACUUGUAUUGGUUGGGUAAAACUGAUUGACUAGAGAGAAAUAGAGGGAAGUAGAAUUCCGGGUGUAGUGGUGAAAUGCGUAGAUAUCCGGAGGAAUACCGGUGGCGAAGGCGGCUUCCUGGAUUUCCACUGACGCUGAGGCGCGGAAGCGUGGGUAGCGAACGGGAUUAGAAACCCCGGUAGUCCACGCCGUAAACGAUGUACAUUAGGCGUUCGGCAGCGCAAGUUGUUGAGUGUCGCAGCAAACGCGAUAAAUGUACCGCCUGGGGAGUACGGUCGCAAGGCUAAAACUCCAAAGGAAUUGACGGGGA